rnacentral:lncRNA from 1 species
UAGAAAAGAAGUUACAUGGUUCUGUUGCCCAAGGAGGUGUGCCAAGAAGUCAGCUGUGAUUAAAGAGGCUGGUGUCUUAUAACCUGGCUCAUGGCUUUCAGUCCUUUACAAAUUGUUUCUGAACGGUAGUGGGGAGACCUUCACUUGGCCCAAAGCCACAAAACUGGCAUGGACAGCUUCAAAAAGAGAAAAAAUACAAAAAUAAAGCAAGAAGAUAAAUAUAAAUGGAAAAAAAUGAAGCUUCACUCUUUUAUCUGUUGUGGAAAACAAUAAAAAAGCACGGCAUGGAGCCUGCCAGCACAGAUCUGAAGAACAGAGGCAAUCAAUUGGAUGGAUGCAGAGCUAGCCCUGAGGUUCAGGUUUGCACUCUGGUGUCAUCGCUCAUUCCAUUCUCUGGGCUGGAGACUUCUGAGGUGCUGGGGUCCCAACGGAACAACAACAACACAACAACAACAACAACAACAACAACAACAAAAAUCCCUAUACAAGGGAGAGAAAUCAGGAAAUAGAAAACCAAAUAGAACUUUGUAUCCAGACGACGGGAUUUCUGAAGACAGUCAUUGUGUAACAGUUUCCUCUGAGGUAGAAGCAUUCUAUCUUGCAAGAAAGUUCCUUAAAUAGGAAGGUAAACAACUCAAAAUAGCUUCAGGAAGUUCCUGAAACUGAACAGAUUCUCUAGGCUCUGCCCUGCCAGAGGAAGCAAGAGUUGAGAGUGUCUCUUAGGCCUAAGGAAGCUGAGCUACUGUAUAGAAGGCUCUCAGAUGAGCUAACGUAAGUGUUGAGACCACUGUCUGGAAGAAGCAGCCUCUAACGGAGGUUCCUGGAAAGGACAGUCUACAACCUGAUGAGCUGCCUGAAGGCUAUGCAAUGUGUUCCAGGUUCCCAGCUCUGUGAGCCAGCUAUCACCUGUGCUGGGGUGGUGAUACAGCAAUCUUUGAGUCAUUUCUGCCCCUGUAAGUAGCCCCAGUAAAACACAUUGCUCACCAAAUUGGACUUUGGUGGUAUCUGUACUUUGGUCUGUCAGUGGGUGAGUAAGCUUGUGUGUUGGAUCUCCCAAGGAAAAGGUUUGUUACAUAACAAGGAGGAACAGUGAAAUCUCUCUCAAGUUUCUCAAGUUUAGUUCUAGGAGGAAGAGUUGCUGAAGCAGGGGGCUUGGAGCAAGUGGGAUCCUUGAGAGGGAAGAAGGAGGCCCUGGUUAAAAAAAAAAGUGACACUAAGCAGAGAUAGGCCAGGGGCAGGUGAUCUUUUUGACUAUUUUAGCUGGACAUAGAAAGGAUAGCCUAAAGAAAACAGGAGGGUGUUCAGGGCCCCUCCUAAAGUAUUUGCACAACACCGAUGGAAACAUGAUUAGUUAUUUGAUUGAUGAUUGCUCUGAGAAGGCCAUCAGAGUGGGGCUGAUAUGAGUGGGGGAUUCCCUCUGACUGAACAUGUUUCUGACUCUCAACAAUUGGGCCUUUGAAUAUAUUAUCUAUUUAGAAAAAAAAAAAAAAAGCAACAAACAGGACCCCAAGAUGGCUUAGGAGGUAAAGGCGCUUGCGACCAAGCCUGAUGAACUGGAUUUGAUCCCUAAGCCCCACGUGGUAAAUGGUGAGAACUGACUCCCCAGAAUUGUUAUCUGGUCCUCGUAUGUAUGUUUUAGUAUGCAAAUAUGCAUACCUACCAUACACCCAUGUACAAAUACAUAAAUGUAAUAAGAAUAUUUUCAAAAGAAAAGAAUAACCAAUAGAUACAUUCAUGAAUAUAGAAAUGGGAGUGGAUUCAGAGGACUUUAUUAUAGUGAGCAGAAAUGUAACAGAAAUGCUUAAGCUGGGAGAGGAUUGUUUUUCUGGACUAUAAUGUUUUGUUAAGUCCUCCAAAGGUUUCAAACAUGGCAAUUUUGGCUACACCACAUGAAAUUACUAUAUUUGAGGUCCACAAUGUCAGGGUUAUUGACAAUUUCACUUUGCUUAACUCAGGGUUUCUCAGCUUUGGCAUGGUUGACAUUUUAGUAAUCCCUUGUUGUACUGUGGGACAGUCUUCUAUGUAGGAUGCUUAGCUGCAUCCUGGACUCUACCCACUAGAGGCUAGGGACACUUCUCCAGAAGUGGUAAUUUUUAAUGAGUUGUUUGUUUGUUUGUUUUGUUUUGUUUGUCUGUAACAGCCCUGAUAACAUAUCGUGUGGGACUGAGAAAAAAAAAAAAAAAAAAGCAGGGCUCUCAUACAAGCAUUUAUUCAGAAUUUUAAGACAGAAAUCUCGUAGGGGUCUGUGGUAAAGCCUUUGCCUGACAUUUCAAGACCCUGUAGUAGGGCUAUGGGGCUGGCUUGGGAAGUGGAAUUGCUUGUUUCCUGAUGACCUGGGUAUUAUCCACCAGACCCUUGUAGAAAGCCAGAAGUGGUGACAGAUCUAUAAUCCAGUAUUGCUACUUCAAGACGGGAAGCAGAGAUAAUCUAAUGCUUUUAAGGCUCCAUACACAUGUUUAGAGUCACAGAGUGACUUAAGGAAAAAGAAUAAAAUCGCAGGGAAUCUUAAAACACACAAACACACACACACACACACAAACACACACACACACACACACACACACACACACACACACACACGAGUGUUAAGGGAAGAAGGGUUUGGAUGGCAGCCAUAUCUGGCCCGCCACCUGUUUUUGUAAAUAAAGCUCCUUUGGAACACAGCCAUACUCAUCUGUUGACAUAUUGGCAGGGGCUGCUUUUGUGCCGUAAGAGCAGAAUUGAGACGUUGCAUCAGGGAGUGUAUGGCCCAGAAAGCCUAAAAUAUUUACUGUCUGGCCCUUUAUAGCCAAAUUUGCCAAUGUUGUUUUGGUUGAUUGAGCUUUCCGUCUGUGGUGGCAGAGGAUGAGAAGCUGCCUGGAACCCCUUGGGUGUGUGGCUCUCUCACCCUUCCUACCCAUAAAGCUACAGCAGUUAGCAUUCUUAAUGGGAGGUAAAAGCUUAUUUGGAUAAAGGAGAAAGAUGUGUCAGAAGUGUUGGGAGCAGGAGCUCACAGUAUCAAGAGUGGCCUAAUGCAGAUACAGAGGAGAAAAUGCCUUGCUUUCUUGGGCUGCACGGCUCCCCAGCUCCCUUGCUGCCCAGAGACUGUGAGAAUAUUAGCUGGAUGGAAAACAUUCAGGUGUUUAGAGACUUUCCUGGGUUGGGUGAAAGGUAUAGUGCGCAUUAAUUUUCCUGUUAUCCACACAGGUUCAUUUCGUUCUUAAUAUGCUUUUGUACUUUGCUGGUUUUUUUUUUUUUUUCAUUAAAAAAAAAUUACAUUUCUUAGGGGAAGUGUUUGAAAGCAGUUGAAAGGAAGGAGGUUUGAUGGCAACUCAAGUAGUUUUGCAUGACUAAUAAUAAUUAUUAUGAUGAUAGUUUCCUGCCUAAGCCUUCUCAGUGGGUAAUAUUUGCAAAUUAAACACACUAUAAAAUAUUCAGCCCCUUGCUACCAACUCGGGUGAUUUGCAUAAUCCCCCCUGCAUGGGCUCUGGAGUGAACCAUUCCCUAAUUAAUUAUUUAAUUCCCAUCUGUACAGUGUGAACAAGCUAAUGAAAUUCCGGCAGGCUGAGCAAAGCUGAGGCUCCUCUUUGGAGAUGGGUCCUGGUUUCCUCAGGCAUGAGCCCUUCCAGCCAGGGGUCACUUCCCAAC